AUUGAACGCUGGCGGCAGGCCUAACACAUGCAAGUCGAGCGAGCGGCGGACGGGUGAGUAAUGUCCGGGAAACUGCCUGAUGGAGGGGGAUAACUACCGGAAACGGUAGCUACUACCGCAUACCAUCAGAUGUGCCCAGAUGGGUUACGCUAGUAGGGGGGGUAACGGCUCACCUAGGCGACGAUCCCUAGCCGGUCGGAGAGGAUGACCAGCCAAACUGGAACUGAGACACGGUCCAGACUCCUACGGGUGGCAGCAGUGGGGAAUAUGGCACAAUGGGCGCAAGCCUGAUGCCGCCAUGCCGCGUGUGUGAAGAAGGCCUUCGGGUUGUAAAGCACUUUCAGCGGGGAGGCGUUACCCGCAGAAGAAGCACCGGCUAACUCCGUGCCAGCAGCCGCGGUAAUUC
rnacentral:rRNA from 1 species